rnacentral:rRNA from 1 species
UACGUAGGUGGCGAGCGUUGUCCGGAUUUACUGGGCGUAAAGGGAGCGUAGGCGGACUUUUAAGUGAGAUGUGAAAUACCCGGGCUCAACUUGGGUGCUGCAUUUCAAACUGGAAGUCUAGAGUGCAGGAGAGGAGAAUGGAAUUCCUAGUGUAGCGGUGAAAUGCGUAGAUAUUAGGAGGAACACCAGUGGCGAAGGCGACUUACUGGACUGUAGCUGACGCUGAGGCGCGAAAGCGUGGGGAGCAAACAGGAUUAGAUACCCU